rnacentral:rRNA from 1 species
AUUGAACGCUGGCGGCAGGCCUAACACAUGCAAGUCGAGCGGAUGACGGGAGCUUGCUCCUUGAUUCAGCGGCGGACGGGUGAGUAAUGCCUAGGAAUCUGCCUGGUAGUGGGGGACAACGUUUCGAAAGGAACGCUAAUACCGCAUACGUCCUACGGGAGAAAGCAGGGGACCUUCGGGCCUUGCGCUAUCAGAUGAGCCUAGGUCGGAUUAGCUAGUUGGUGGGGAAAUGGCUCACCAAGGCGACGAUCCGUAACUGGUCUGAGAGGAUGCUCAGUCAGACUGGAACUGGGAGACGUGCCAGACGCCUACGGGAGACAGCAGUGGGGAAUAGUGGACAAUGGGCGAAAGCGUGAUCCAGCCAUGCCGCGUGUGUGAAGAAGGUCUUCGGAUUGUAAAGCACUUUAAGUUGGGAGGAAGGGCAGUAAGCUAAUACCUUGCUGUUUUGACGUUACCGACAGAAUAAGCACCGGCUAACUCUGUGCCAGCCGCCGCAGUAAAAC